rnacentral:rRNA from 1 species
GAGUUUGAUCCUGGCUCAGAACGAACGCUGGCGGCAUGGAUUAGGCAUGCAAGUCGAACGGUCUUGUAUUCGUACAAGAUAGUGGCGAAAGGGUGAGUAACACGUAAGUAAUCUGCCUUCAAGUUUGGAAUAGCUCUCCGAAAGGGGAAUUAAUACCAGAUGUGAUUGAUUGACGUAUGUUGUAUCAAUUAAAGAUUUAUCGCUUGAAGAUGAGCUUGCGUCCCAUUAUGUUUGUUGGUAGGGUAAUGGCCUACCAAGACUAUGACGGGUAGGUGGCUUGAGAGAGUGGUCAUCCACACUGGGACUGAGACACUGCCCAGACUCCUACGGGAGGCUGCAGUCGAGAAUCUUCCGCAAUGGGCGAAAGCCUGACGGAGCAAUGCCGCGUGUAGGAUUAAGGUCUUCGGAUUGUAAACUACUGUCACUGGGGAUGAAUAAAAUGACGGUACCCAGGGAGGAAGUCACGGCUAACUACGUGCCAGCAGCCGCGGUAAUACGUAGGUGGCAAGCGUUGUUCGGAUUUAUUGGGCGUAAAGAGUUCGUAGGGGGUUUGUUAAGUUUGAUAUGAAAUCCUGGAGCUUAACUCCAGAAUUGUAUCAAAAACUGGCAUUCUAGAGUUUCAAAGAGGAGAGUGGAAUUUCUGGUGUAGCAGUGGAAUGCGUGGAUAUCAGAAGGAACACCAAAGGCGUAGGCAGCUCUCUGGAUGAACACUGACCCUGAGGAACGAAAGCGUGGGUAGCAAACAGGUUUAGAUAUCCUGGUA